AUGAAUCUCCAAUCAAACCUUGCCAGACUUUGUAGCCCCAACCUAACUUGUACAAAAGACGUUCACUUGCAUGAAGGGGCUGGAUCCCUCUGCCCAUCCAAGUGGCACUAUCUCCUUGUCGGUGAACCUAUAACAUUUAAAGAUGCUAUGCACUUCUUGAAGAAGGAACUCAACUUCUACCAACUCGGCACCGUGUGUUGUCGUGCCCCAAGACCGCCGGUGCACCGAACAAUAAACCAAGAUUUGAUGGGCAUACGAAUCACGUCCAGCAACAUAGCAGCAUGCCUCUGCCUGCUCUAUCAUGCAUCCAUAUUGGUCCUGGACCUCGGGUGUAGGGGUGAUGGAAUGAGGUUGAGGGCCGACUUCAUAAAGAUUGGCGAUGGCCGUCUCGCCGUUGCAAAGAAAGGGAAUCGGUGGCAGCCACCACAACAUCAAACCGGCGAUUGUGCGUCUUUGGUGAGGGCCAUUGUAGACGACUACGUCGACAACAAUAUGUCCAUGAGUGCUAGCUUAUUUCCCCAACCAAGAUGGCGCUUCGGCGUGCUCGACUGGAGGCCGCGGUACCAGACGAGACGGCACACCAGAUCGAUGGAUCUCACAGCCAUGUGGGAAGGGCUGGUUCCCGGCAGAAAGAGCCGGGGCGGCGAGGGGCAGGUAGCUGCGUCGGGGGCAUGCAUCCGAGAUGGGUUGGGACGGCAAGAAAAACCCCAAACCAAUCGCACGCACGUACUAGCAAGGCCUCCCACCCUCAAGCGAGAACCACUCUCACGCAUGACUCUCUGCCCUUCUCCGCCGCCGCCGCUCCAUCCCUUCGCCGCCGCCCUCGUUCGCCGCAACCGCCGCUCCAUCCCUUCGCCGCCGCCCUCGGUUCCCCGCCGCCGCUACCCCUCCCUUGAGCAUGGGUGGCCACCGGCGAAGGAUGCCCGCUCCCCCUCCUCUCUGGCCACACCGGUCUCCUCCCUAACCACAAAGUGGGUGCACGCGGUGCGGACUCCGGCGAACGCGGCCGCGCGUGAUCCAGAGGCCCGGCGGCGCCCACAUCCCUCGCCUCUCUGGUCGCACGUCGCCUCCCUAACCACAAAGUGGGCGCACGCGGGGUGGGAUUCGGCGAACGCGGCCGCGCGCGAUCCAGUGGCCCGGCGGUGCCCGCAUCCCUCGCCUCUCGGAUUGCAUGUCUCCUCCCUUCCUACAAAGUGGGUGCACGCAGGGUGGCCACUCCGCCAACUGACUCCAGGAGCUCUGCUUUCGCAACGGCAACAUCUACAUCAAGCUCGGCCAGCACAUCGCACAACUGGUGUAUGUGCAGACAAUGAGGGCGCCGAUGCUCAAGAGGUCGUCCGCGGAGUCAUCAAGAAAGAGAAUGGAGAAUUGCCACAAACUGUUCAGCACGACCACUUGGUGGAUACUUCCAUAAUAGAUAUCGCCACCGUGGAUUUAGUAGUGAAUGCUCUUCAUUAUAUUUUCCCUAAAUUUGACUACAGAAUUAGUUAUGAUAGAGAGAAGGACUCCGAUCUGUAUGCUUUGACUGAUGGCGUCUUACCGAAAAAGGCAGGCAAGUAUGUUGACUGGGUUGAUGUGGAGCUAGAGAAACUUGAGAGGACACAGGAGAAUUUAUGUUGCAGUUCAUACCCACCACGUUCGUGUCUUCACCACUUCGUCCUCCAGCACAAACGCCAGAAUGGAGCAAAAGCUGUGAUUUGCCAGCCAAUCUCGUCGGAACAUCGUCUAGCUUGCCGUGCUCCACUCACUCGAGAGGAAGCCUGUCAACAUGAUGAACAGACUAGUUUUUACCGAGGACAGCUCGGCAAGGAAGAGACCGGAUGUUUGUCAUUGACCUACUUUACGAAGGCUAAAACUGCAGUGGCAGACAUGCUUACAAGAUCUCGUGAAGAUCAUUCCGCUGAUGAUGGGAAUGGUCUGUAUGGUCCAUACAUGGUUAUUUCUCUUCCUUCCACCGUGUCAAACUGGUUGAACGACUCAAUGAGGUUUGCUCCUUCUCUAAAUGGUCUAAUUUAUCAUGGAGAUAAAGUGGCUCGGACAGAGCUAACGAGAAACUACAUGCCCAAAACUGUUGGUCCUGAUUUUCUGAUAUUAAUCACUUCAUAUGAGAUGGCUAUGUUUGAUGCAAAGUUUCUUGCUAAUUAUAAGUGGAAGUCACAUGAUCUGAAUUAUUGCCCUUGUAUAUUUCUCUCCCUUCCCCAUCGCCUGGGCUUGUGGUGUGUGUUAUGCUUGUCUGUUCCUGUUCGUACCUUCGUGAUGACUGGUUCGGUACAUCGUGCAUGUGGGUCCUAUGUGCAGCCAUCGCGAGAGCACGACCCAAAUAAGGAGCCUUUUCACACGUCACAGCCCAACAUCAAAGAGAACUCUUUCUCUUUCAGCGAUCUAUUGCAAUUGUCAUCCAUUGAUCGAGCGUACACAGUAUCCUUCAAUGGUUUACAUAUGGUGUGGCUCCUUGCACUAAGUUGA
rnacentral:rRNA from 1 species